rnacentral:rRNA from 1 species
AGUGGCGACCGGGUGAGUAACACGUGACUAACCUACCUUCGAGUGGGGGAUAACCUCGGGAAACCGGGGCUAAUACCGCAUAAUGCCUUCGGGUUAAAGGAGCAAUUCGCUUGAAGAGGGGGUCGCGGCCGAUUAGGUUGUUGGCGGGGUAACGGCCCACCAAGCCAGUGAUCGGUAGCCGGCCUGAGAGGGCGCACGGCCACACUGGAACUGAAACACGGUCCAGACUCCUACGGGAGGCAGCAGUGGGGAAUUUUGCGCAAUGGGGGAAACCCUGACGCAGCAACGCCGCGUGGAGGAUGAAGUCCCUUGGGACGUAAACUCCUUUCGACCGGGACGAUGAUGACGGUACCGGUGGAAGAAGCCCCGGCUAACUUCGUGCCAGCAGCCGCGGUAAUACGAGGGGGGCAAGCGUUGUUCGGAAUUAUUGGGCGUAAAGGGCGCGUAGCGGUGCGGUAAGUCACCUGUGAAACCUCUAGGCUUAACCUAGAGCCUGCAGGCGA